CAUGUGAUAGUCUCAGAAUGUAGAGGACUCUGAUGACCCAGAUAGUGUCCUCCCCAUCCUCUGAUGCCUUUGGGGCCAAAGCAACCAUUCUUGCUACUCUCUAUCCCCUCUAUGGCUUCCGCACUUUAUUUUAUUUUAUUUUAAGAU